CAGUCGCCGCGGUAAUACGAGGGGAGCUAGCGUUGUUCGGAAUUACUGGGCGUAAAGCGCGCGUAGGCGGCUUCUUAAGUCAGAGGUGAAAGCCCGGGGCUCAACCCCGGAAUUGCCUUUGAAACUGGAAAGCUAGAAUCUUGGAGAGGUCAGUGGAAUUCCGAGUGUAGAGGUGAAAUUCGUAGAUAUUCGGAAGAACACCAGUGGCGAAGGCGACUGACUGGACAAGUAUUGACGCUGAGGUGCGAAAGCGUGGGGAGCAAACAGGAUUAGAUACCCGUGUAGUCCCUGUCUCUUAUAC
rnacentral:rRNA from 1 species